GGUCCCAAGGGUUGGUCUGUUCGCCCAUUAAAGCGGUACGCGAGCUGGGUUUAGAACGUCGUGAGACAGUUCGGUCCCUAUCCGUCGUGGGUGUGAGAUAUUUGAGGGGAUCUGCUCCUAGUACGAGAGGACCGGAGUGGACGAACCUCUGGUGUUCCGGUUGUCACGCCAGUGGCAUUGCCGGGUAGCUAAGUUCGGACGGGAUAACCGCUGAAAGCAUCUAAGCGGGAAGCCUCCCUUAAGAUGAGUUUUCCCAUGAAGCCCGUUGAAGACCACAACGUUGAUAGGCAAGGUGUGGAAGCGCAGUAAUGUGUGAAGCUAACUUGUACUAAUUGGCUGAUUGUCUUGACCAUAUAAACUCAGUGGCUUAU
rnacentral:rRNA from 1 species